AGCUUAUUGUUAGUAUUUAUAAUAAGUUAUUUCUGCCCUGUGAGAUAAUUCAUGUCUUUAACGGCCGCAGUACUUUGACUGUGCUAAGGUAGCAAAAUAAUUAGGCUUUUAAUUGAAGUCGGGAAUGAAAGAAAUUAAUAAUGAAAUGCUGUCUUUAUUUUAUUUUUUAAAAAUUACUUAUAUGGUGAAAAUUCCAUUAAAAUUAUAUAAAAGACGAGAAGACCCUAAGAAUUAUUUAAACUAAGUAUAAUUUUACUUUGUUUUUGUUGGGGCAACAUUAAUUUAUAAAAUUAAUUAAAAAUAUUUUACUUAAGAAUAAAUUAUUAAAAAGAAAUUAAUUACCUUAGGGAUAACAGCAUAAUUAUUAUUUUAGAUUGUGACCUCGAUGUUGGACUAAGGAAAAUAUAUAGUUAGCCAUUAUAUAUACAGGUUCUGUUCGAACUAUUUAUCCUUACAU
rnacentral:rRNA from 1 species